UACGUAGGGUGCAAGCGUUGUCCGGAAUUAUUGGGCGUAAAGAGCUCGUAGGCGGUUCGUCGCGUCGGCUGUGAAAUCCCGAGGCUCAACCUCGGGUCUGCAGUCGAUACGGGCGGACUGGAGUUCGGCAGGGGAGACUGGAAUUCCUGGUGUAGCGGUGAAAUGCGCAGAUAUCAGGAGGAACACCGGUGGCGAAGGCGGGUCUCUGGGCAGUAACUGACGUGAGGAGCGAAAGCGUGGGGAGCAAACAGGAUUAGA
rnacentral:rRNA from 1 species